rnacentral:misc_RNA from 1 species
UAAUCAAGUUGCAAAAUGAAUAACUUUAUAGGUUGAAGUAAUAGAGGGAAAGGAAGAAAAUAAUACUGAAUUGCCUGAUUAUUCCCUUGAGUUUUUUAGUAUAAAUAUUGUUAGUCAUAUAUUAGGAAUGGUAUGUAUACAUAUUUGUAGGUCAUAUUCAUAGGCAUACUAGCUAUAGGCAUAAUCUUAGCAUACCUUUAUAGGGAUGCUUUUAGCACACUAUCACAACUAGCAUUUUAACACUCCCUUUCAAGCUGGAGCACACAUAUUAUAUUCUCUUAGCUGUUAUAAAUGUAUUCAAUUCGAG